GCAGCAUAGGUGAGGAGAGAGGGUUAGCACUCCCCUUGACAAGGAUGGAAGACUUGCCAUUAUUAUUU
rnacentral:ncRNA from 1 species